AGUGAUCUGCUGCAAAAUACCAAGGACUAGGAACUUCGUAGAGCUGGGGAAGAACAGUAGCAUACCAUGCUAAGGACAGCAACUCAGAGGAGGUUUUUCUUUGGUUACUUGCAGUUAGAUUUAACGUCAGCUACAUAUGAAGAGACGUACCUGGAAUGGCUUCGGCUUCUGGAAUAAGAGCGGCGCCGUCUUGAUCCAGGAACUGACAUUCUGCCCUGCCUCAAGCAAGCCGUCAGACAGGGCUCUUUCAGCUGCUUUGGACGUAGGCUGCACAGAAUUUUGGUUCAGUCUAUUUUUGACCCACCUAUUCCCAUCUUACGUACACUGAAAUUAAAGCUGUUCAAAAAAAAGCAACGCAUCCAGUAGAAGAUUAAUCAUGCCAUGCUCUACUUACAAUUAUUAAUACCAGAAGCAAAGACAAGCUACUGAUGGUGUGAAGCAUUAACAACAGAAGACAUUUGAAGAAUCUCAGUACGUACCUGAACUAGAGUUACAUAUUCAAUUACAGACCAGUUUCUAAUACGUCAAAGUUUGUUUAGAACAAAUUUUACACAUCCUUAAAAGAGAGCCAUAAAAGAAAGCGUGCCUGUAAGAACAAGUGUUUUUAACCAUUUCUAUUUUUGAUAAGGAAACACUACCUUUUACAACUACUAUCGGAACUCUGCUCCCUGUUCUGCCCCCUCCAACCCAUGAUGCAGAUAAAUACGAACCAUUUCACCUCGCAUGUGUUCACACGCACUGCAGUCUAUGCAGUGUGCUAGCUGGCAUUUCCACUACCUCACUCUCCACUCCCUCAGACUUGGACAAAAUUUUAGCGUUUAGCAGAGGUUUUGUAUGAUUGCUUGUAGUCCGGAAGCACCCUUUUCCUGAAACUCCCUUUGAAACAGUUUCCCAAUGAGGAAAUUCUUAAGAGACUGUGCAAGAAUGAUGCUAUAUUUCCGAACAGCUCUAGCACAUUAGAAGUUGAUGAGUAAAACCAGAAGUGACAAGGACAAACUUCUGCGACACUAAUGAGUCUUACCAUUGGCCUGGUUAAAGUCUGAUUUGACAGGGCUUAAAGACUGAAAAAUAUCUGUACAUGGUGUUGGUUUAUGUUGAGCAAAAAAGAAAAAUGCAUUCUCCUACUGUCCAAUAACAUGCAAAUCUGUGCAGAUGCAACUCCCAAUGUAGUAUGUAAUAUUAAUGACUGCAUAUAUUCAAACGUACUUCAAUAUUGACUUAAUGCAUUACGUAGAAAAACCUCCUCAUAUGCAUAUGAGCACACAGACUUAUUUUAACAAAAUGGAGUGAGGAAUACAGGUCUAUACAAGUUUUUCUUGAUGAAACUGAAGCUAACUUGUUUACCCUUUGUGCUCUUUAUUAGAGGGCAAAGAAAGGGGCCCCAUACCUUAAGAUCCUGCCAGCUGCAGCGGCUUGACAAAUUUUCCACAAUCAAUCUGUAUUCUGUACGAGUAGGAGGACCGUACUUAUCUCUUCCGCUUCUUCUAUAACCAUAUCCACCUUUAGGAGGUGACAAGCAGACAGCAGUACUUCAACUACGGAAAUGGCGCGCUCGCUGUACACCCCAAACAAAAACUAUUCUGCCCCACAUGUUUGUAAGUACUUUAAAACUUCACCCACCCUCUAGUCUAAAUUAGAUUCCCAUUGUAUAAAAUGUUAAAAAGAUGCAAAGCAUUCUAAAGAGUCAUUACUGCAAUGCUAACACACAAUUAAAACAAUGCACAUCAUUAUAAUUAACAUGCAAUUAAAUUUAUUUUAAAAAAAUCUUGAAAGAAGAAAUCAAAUCAUUUAAGCUAGUUUACUAGUGUUACUUACAUUGCUUAAAGGUUUUCUGAAUAUCUGAUAUGAAUAAAGAUUUUCAGGCACCUAUUUCAGAUUAAUCUCAUCUGUCUCUAACCCUUGGGAUCCUCACCACCCAGGUCUAAUAGGAAAAGGUUGCGGUCGUCACAUGGCUUCCUUUUUUGUCGGCCAAGGGCCACAAAGGUCAAAGAGCCACUCAUGGAAAGGUAACCCAAGGUCAGCAAAUGGAACAGGCAGUCAUCUUAGCCUCAAAGGACUCUUAAUUAAAACAUUGAGUCUUUGUUAAAUCUAUGUUAAACAAUCACAUUACAAAUAAACCAUUAAAAGAGGUAAAUAAAAUGAUAAUAA